UCCUCAACAAAAAGCUGCUUAGACUUCCCUUCCACGUCUUCUUACUCAACAUCUCCCUCUUCUUCUUACUCACAACAUUAAUUUCAUUGGCCCUGCUUCAAUUCUUCAAAUAAUUAAUUAACACAUUUGAAGAUUUGAAGGAGGUAAGCUAGGCCCACCGAUCCUCGAACAGAGAAUCAAAAUUUUCAGAAAUGCAGCCACAACCAUAACCCAAAG
rnacentral:lncRNA from 1 species